GGUCUCAGCUGAAGCAACUCUUCAUUUGUUCCUUCAAAUAUGCUUGAAUUUUGUACCGAAGUCUCAACUUCCCUGGCUUGAAAACUGCUUGUUUUUGAAACAGAGCCUCUCUUCUCGCCUUGAAUUCUUUCCUGGUCCUGGGCGUCGAAUGUGGAGCAUCAGGCUUGAUGGCAAGAUGUCUUUACCCACUGAGCCAUCUUGUCUGGCCUGGAGGACCUUCUUCGUCUCCUGGGCUGAAGCAGAGAGCAAGACAGGAAAGGAGCCCUCAGGCCUUCAGAGCCCCACCCCCAGGAGCUUCCUGCCAACUCCUUACACCUCCACAAGCUUCUAACGCACCUUCACCAUGUGCUCCACACUUCAGCCCGUGGGGAUGGGCACAAUGACGGAAGCAUCUGCAGAUGGCAAGGUGGACGAGCAAAGCAGCUGAAACACAGAGCCAACACAUGGAAGUCCUGUUCUGGAUCCUCAGACCCACAGCUGAGUGAUUUUGAGCAAAAGAGAAACAAUUUUGUGUGUGUUUUUUAAACAUGAAACACUCAUUUUUUGUUGAAAGAAGAUUUAGAAAUAGUUUAUCUAGUCUAGAAUUUCUCAACCUCUUAUCAAUAUUGACAUUUGCAUGAGAUAAUUCUUUGCCACAGAGGUAAAAGAGUAAGCUAAAUAAAUUUCCCCCUUCACCUGCUCUUUUCUAGGUACACUUCACAGCAAUAAAAACCCAGGAAAGAAUGUAACAUGACCUCACCUGUGUCACUCAACUGGUGACCUUAAAACAGCCCAGUUGGGAAGUUUAGUCUUCUCCAUCUUAGGAAGGUGCUCUUUUUUCACUCUUGAUAUACAGAACCGGGACUGGAGAGCUGGCUCAGUGGUUAAGAGCACUGGCUGCUCUUUCAGAGGACCGGGGUUCAAUUCCCAGCCCCCACUUGGGCAUCUGUUACUCCAGUUCCAGGAGAUCCGACCCCCUCACAUAGACACACAUACAGGUAAAACACCAAUGCACGUAAAAAAAAAAAAAAGUUUUUAAGAGGAGGGGCUAGAGAGAUGGCUCAGUGGUUAAGAGCACUACUUGCUCUUCCAGAGGAUCUGGGUUCAAUUCCUAGUACCCGCACGGAAGCUCACAACUGUCUGUAACUCCAGUUCCAGGGGAUCCAACACCCUCACACAGACAUGCAUGCAGGCAGAACACCAAGGCACACCAAAUAAAAAUAAAAAUAAACUAAAAAAAAAAAAAACAAAAGCAAAACCAACCAACCAACCAAACAAACAAACAAAAACUGAAUCUCCUACUUGUCCAUUUGAUAUCAAGCAAGGAAGGCUUUGAGAUGUGUUGGCAGAUUUCCAUAGAUUCUUCAAAGAGGUCCUCUCCCAUUUGAGGUUGAUAUGCAGUGUGGGUCAAUUUGGAAGACGGGAAGAAGGUCCAUUCCGUAGGGCUGCCUGAGGCUCACUCUUCCCUCUAGUUUGGCCGCUAACCAUUGAUCUUCUCACUUGAUUCCACACCUUCACAUAUGAAGGAAGACUGUUCAGGGGCUGUGAGGGAGAGACUCAGAUACAGCACUGGUCAGACUGCAUGUUCCCCAGAGCAUCUGAAAUGUAUGAAAAGAUGCCAUGGACAACCCUCAGGAUCAAAAGGGACAUACUGGGAAUAUGUUUUGGUAUUUGGCCAUUGGGGUGUAUACACAAGGCUUGGCUGUGUGACUUAACUAUCGUAGGAAGAUAAAAACUUACAUAAAAAUGGGGCAGCUUAAUAAAACACAGCAACAUACUCUGCCAAAAGGUACCAAAUGAUAACAAAAUCUGGGGAGAGAAUAUAGGCUACUAAGUCUAUUGGAAAAUCCAAACAGGAUUUUAAAUGGACCUAUGUUUUUGCCAUUUUAUAAUGCAUUUCAGACCCAACUGAUGUCAAGUAAACUUAUGAUGAUCAUUUUGAAGGGUGUUUUUAUUCAUAGCAGCUAAGUAAUACGUUAUAGGGAUAAAACCUAUAAUCAGGCCACUCUUUAAUGUUUAUAAGGCAUUGAUCCCACUGAAUGAAAGAAAGUAAAGGCCACCAGAUGGUGAGGGCACAUG